AAGUCGUAACAAGGUUUCCGUAGGUGAACCUGCGGAAGGAUCAUUAACACUUUUUAUUAUUUUGUUUUUUUUCUAAAACAAAAUUUAAAACCCCACAAUUUUGGAUGAAUUUAAUUAAUUUAUUUUUUAUUUUAUUUUUUUUAUUAUAACCCUAUUAUUUUGACUAACAUUUUUUAAUUAUUAAAAAAUUAAAAAAACAACUCUUAACAACGGAUAUCUUGGCUCUCGC
rnacentral:misc_RNA from 1 species